AGAGUUUGAUCCUGGCUCAGAUUGAACGCUGGCGGCGUGCCUAACACAUGCAAGUCGAGCGGUAACAGGUGUAGCAAUACAUGCUGACGAGCGGCGAACGGGUGAGUAAUGCUUUGGAAUCUUCCCAGUAGUGGGGAAUAACCAGUCGAAAGAUUGGCUAAUACCGCAUACGUCUGUAAAGGGAAAGCGGGGGCUCGUAAGACCUCGCGCUAUUGGAUGAGCCAAAGUCGGAUUAGCUAGUUGGUGGGGUAAUGGCCUACCAAGGCGACAAUCCGUAGCUGGUCUGAGAGGACGACCAGCCACACCGGAACUGAGACACGGUCCGGACUCCUACGGGAGGCAGCAGUGGGGAAUAUUGGACAAUGGGGGAAACCCUGAUCCAGCGACGCCGCGUGUGUGAAGAAGGCCUGCGGGUUGUAAAGCACUUUUAGUGGGGACAAAAAGCUACGGAUUAAUACUCUGUGGUCUUGAUUUAACCCAAAGAAAAAGCA
rnacentral:rRNA from 1 species